CUGAAACCGUGUGCUUACAAGUAGUCAGAGCCCGUUAAUGGGUGAUGGCGUGCCUUUUGUAGAAUGAACCGGCGAGUUACGAUUUGAUGCAAGGUUAAGCAGUAAAUGUGGAGCCGUAGCGAAAGCGAGUCUGAAUAGGGCGUUUAGUAUUUGGUCGUAGACCCGAAACCAGGUGAUCUACCCUUGGUCAGGUUGAAGUUCAGGUAACACUGAAUGGAGGACCGAACCGACUUACGUUGAAAAGUGAGCGGAUGAACUGAGGGUAGCGGAGAAAUUCCAAUCGAACCUGGAGAUAGCUGGUUCUCUCCGAAAUAGCUUUAGGGCUAGCCUCAAGUGAUGAUUAUUGGAGGUAGAGCACUGUUUGGACGAGGGGCCCCUCUCGGGUUACCGAAUUCAGACAAACUCCGAAUGCCAAUUAAUUUAACUUGGGAGUCAGAACAUGGGUGAUAAGGUCCGUGUUCGAAAGGGAAACAGCCCAGACCACCAGCUAAGGUCCCAAAAUAUAUGUUAAGUGGAAAAGGAUGUGGCGUUGCCCAGACAACUAGGAUGUUGGCUUAGAAGCAGCCAUCAUUUAAAGAGUGCGUAAUAGCUCACUAGUCGAGUGACACUGCGCCGAAAAUGUACCGGGGCUAAACAUAUUACCGAAGCUGUGGAUUGUCCUUUGGACAAUGGUAGGAGAGCGUUCUAAGGGCGUUGAAGCAUGAUCGUAAGGACAUGUGGAGCGCUUAGAAGUGAGAAUGCCGGUGUGAGUAGCGAAAGACGGGUGAGAAUCCCGUCCACCGAUUGACUAAGGUUUCCAGAGGAAGGCUCGUCCGCUCUGGGUUAGUCGGGUCCUAAGCUGAGGCCGACAGGCGUAGGCGAUGGAUAACAGGUUGAUAUUCCUGUACCACCUAUAAUCGUUUUAAUCGAUGGGGGGACGCAGUAGGAUAGGCGAAGCGUGCGAUUGGAUUGCACGUCUAAGCAGUAAGGCUGAGUAUUAGGCAAAUCCGGUACUCGUUAAGGCUGAGCUGUGAUGGGGAGAAGACAUUGUGUCUUCGAGUCGUUGAUUUCACACUGCCGAGAAAAGCCUCUAGAUAGAAAAUAGGUGCCCGUACCGCAAACCGACACAGGUAGUCAAGAUGAGAAUUCUAAGGUGAGCGAGCGAACUCUCGUUAAGGAACUCGGCAAAAUGACCCCGUAACUUCGGGAGAAGGGGUGCUCUUUAGGGUUAACGCCCAGAAGAGCCGCAGUGAAUAGGCCCAAGCGACUGUUUAUCAAAAACACAGGUCUCUGCUAAACCGUAAGGUGAUGUAUAGGGGCUGACGCCUGCCCGGUGCUGGAAGGUUAAGAGGAGUGGUUAGCUUCUGCGAAGCUACGAAUCGAAGCCCCAGUAAACGGCGGCCGUAACUAUAACGGUCCUAAGGUAGCGAAAUUCCUUGUCGGGUAAGUUCCGACCCGCACGAAAGGCGUAACGAUUUGGGCACUGUCUCAACGAGAGACUCGGUGAAAUCAUAGUACC
rnacentral:rRNA from 1 species